AAUAGAAAAGCAUUAUUUUCCCCAACAUUUAAAUUACUGGAAAUGCUAGUCUUAAAACUAUAGACUUGAUUGCUUGUUGGCAUGGGUCUGUGCAUAAAGCCACCAUUUUUGGACAUUAAGGACCCGCAUGGAGACUGGUGACUUUUCAAAUUAAAUCCUGCUUGGUGAGAUUGCAUAUGCAUUGAGGGGAUAUAUGCAGAAAUAGAGCUGAAGAAAUGUUUCAGAAUUAUCGUUAUAUGGAAACGCCACUUUCCAAUAUGUGUUUUAUGGUAUAAGACCAAAAUUACAAAACACAAUGUCAGUUAUUAUUGCACAACAAUUUUGUUGUUUCAAUGCGCUACACAAUACAGCCAGAAUGAUGCCUGAACAAGAGCUGCCGCCGUUAGAUGAAAUAAAUAUGGACCAAAUUAAUAAGAAGAGAAAUAAUAAAUUAGUUUGAAAGAUUAGGGCAAUAUUUUUUU